AUGGAGGCAGGGAGAGCAAGAGGUUGUUUUGGUGAGAUUAUUCUCACUCAGAGUCCCACCGUUCAGAUGGUGUCAGUAUGGGAGAGCGUCACUCUCAACUGUAGAUCCAGCAGUUCAGUUUCUACUUAUUUAGCCUGGUAUCAUCAAAAACCUGGACAAACACCCAAACUCCGUUUCUCUAGUGUUGGUAGCCGAGUGUCUGGAGUGUCUGAGAGAUUUACUGAUGGAAGAUCAAACACAAACUUCAUGCUGAAUAUCAGAAAUGUUCAGACUGAAGAUGCAGGAGAUUAUUACUGUCAACAGCAUUAUGAGUUUCCACUCACAUAG